GGACCCUGGACGCGCAGGCUGUCCGAGGCACCGAUCUCACCGGUAACGAUGGUUCGAUGGCGAGAGGUUGGGUGAGGCGGGGCCAUGGUGACUGGUGGCAAGUGCUGCGGCGCCGGAGGACAUGGCUAACAUGGCGGUGUCGGCGCUGGAGGCCUCUCUCGGCAGAGCGUAUCCGCGGACAGCGCGCGCUGUGCCAGUGUGCGCAGCAGCAGAGAGAACGUAUCGGAGGAGCGGCAGGCGCGCGCGUGCGCAUGUGCGCCGGGAGUCUGGUGCUGCGAUCGGGCGUGCAGUGCACAGACAGGGGGCGCGCGGGUUGAGGACGGGGCGCGCAUGCGGCAUGCGCGCCGCGCGUGGUGGGGGCGGGGGAUCGCUUGCCUCGUCUUUACGGGACACUGCGAUCCGAGGCGGGAGCGCGCAGCCACUCGAGCCGAGGCGGUGCCGCGCUCGGGGAGGCAGCCCAGCGCGGGGUGCUCGCGCGUGCAGCCCAGCGGGGGCCAGCAGAUCGAGCAUCGCGCGACGAUGGUGGGUGGGUGGAGAUGAUCAGGCGCGGGGCGGUGUAGGUGCGUGCCGACAUCCCAUGCAGCCAACGCAGUGCCCCAGCCCCCAGGGUAGGCCGAUACCGGAGCCCCGCGCCACCCAACGCCAGCGACAGCGACGCCGCGGACUCCUCCUCGCCCUCGCCGACGCGCACGGUGCGUUCCUGGAGGCGCUGCUCGACCUAAGGUGCGGCCACGGCGCACUCUGGCUGUGCGACACGGCGGGCGCCCAGCGGCACGCUGAGAGUGACCUUGUCCGCCUCGUGUCCUCCGCGCGCGCCGGCGUCAGGCUCCCGCAGGCGGCGGUGCCCGUGGCGCCAGCCAGCGAGCGAGGAAUAGCACUUCCUGUUGGCCAUAGAUGGCGAUGAAAGCCAACUGCAUCGUCCGCACCUUUCCCCUACGUUGCCCGCAUACGCUCUGUAGUGGCGGACCAUGGCCUCCCGCUUCACCUGCAGGGCGCCGCCGACCGAGCGCGCCUGUGGCAGGAGCCGCUCGCUCAGACCAGAUUGGCGCCUCUUCAGCAGCGUGACUUCUGUCCUUCAAGCUAUGAAGGGACACGUAUUUGGGCAGUGGUGGUUCAUGGCCGAGGCACAGUUCCACGACCAGGGCGACGUGCACAACAUCGCCAUCGAGUGCAGUGGUGGUGUGAGGACGUGAUACCGAUGUGGAAAUUACUAUUGCCAUCGACGACGAGAGCACUUUACUAGAUCUUCUUAGAAGAGGAAACUGAACGAUGGGCACACUGCGGGUGAUCAGGUGGCAGCGAUGUGAGGACGGUCAGCAUGGCCAUGGAGAUGCUGAUGAAGCCUAGGUUGGUCAUCCUAGAUGAGCCCACCAUUGGUUUGGAUAGAAACUCUUUCAGGCAUGAACUAACUGUACUGGAGAAGGUUCGACACUGUACUAUGUUGUUCAGUUCGUCGGAGCUGUCACUCAGGACAUACCUAUGAUGAUUGUUUCUGAACUCCAUGAAGAGACUUAUGAGAUGUAUCCAGAAGAAAGCAAAGUUACGUGCGCAAAAGGUGCUAAGAAAUGGCCUUGAUAUUUCCAGUGCAUGGUUCGAAGAGCUUCACAAGCAGAGUUCAGAGAGUUGCUGAAUUGAAAAGGGGAAUUGGAGAAGUCAGAAAAUUCUAUCGGAGAUUUGAGAUCUCCUUUUUAGUCUUCUACGUCUUUUCAAUCUGUGAUUGGGAUUUGGGAGCUUCAGCAAAUAUAACAUGUUUAUGGGACUGGGAGUUUUGAAUGCGGCACCAGUCAUACUGAAUCAGGUUCACACUCCAAAAAACACAGCAGAUAAUUCUUCAGGCCAAGGCACAUCCAAAGAUCACGAGCAUUCUAUUAUAGUUACUAGGCCUGAUGGCAUGCCAGCACAUAUUAGGAUGCUAGUGUUUGGUUUUGCCUUGACGAACUCUCUACAUGAUGGAUAUCUCAAUAUGGGCACCUGGAAGGUAAGGGAAACACACGCCCAUUCUCACAAUUGAGCAGAUGUUCAUGCUUCCUGCAACUCCCCAUUUUGCAUUCAGAAGGUCAUAAUUUGGUAAUACAUGGCAAACGGAUGUGAGUUUAUAGUAUAACUGUCUGUAUUGAAACUAUAACAUCUUAGGAAAUAGUCAAAUUAAAUUUGGGCCUGGAU